rnacentral:lncRNA from 10 species
ACAUUGAUGGAUAGCCACGUGGAUCCAGAAAAUAAAGACUUCUACUCUGCAUUUGACUAAAGCAGAAGAUAUGCAAGGAAGCUCAGUCUCUCAAUUGAGUGGAUUCUGAAAUUUAUCCUGUUGUCUUCAGCUACUAAGGCUAAUUUGCAAAUCACACUGUGCACGGACGGCGUCUCGCUGUGUUACCCAGGCUGGAGUGCAGUGGCGCGAUCUCAGCUCACUGCAACCUCACCUCCCGGGUUCAAGUGAUUCCUCUGCCUCAGCCUCCGGAGUAGCUGGGACUACAGGUGCGUGCCACCAUGCCUGGCUCAUUUUUUUUGUAUUUUAGUAGAGACGGGGUUUCACCAUGUUGGCCAGGAUGGCCUCGAUUUCCUGACCUUGUGAUCCGCCCGCCUCGGCCUUCCAAAGCGCUGGGAUUACAGUCAUGAGCCACCGUGCCCGGCC